rnacentral:rRNA from 1 species
GACGUAGGGGGCGAGCGUUGUCCGGAUUUAUUGGGCGUAAAGCGUGCGUAGGCGGCUGCGCAAGUCGGUUGUGAAACCCCGGGGCUCAACCCCGGAACUGCAUCCGAUACUGCGUGGCUAGAGGUAGGUAGGGGAGAUCGGAAUUCCUGGUGUAGCGGUGAAAUGCGCAGAUAUCAGGAGGAACACCGGUGGCGAAGGCGGAUCUCUGGGCCUUACCUGACGCUCAGGCACGAAAGCGUAGGGGAGCGAACAGGAUUAGAACCGUACCGAGUCAGACCAAGUCCA